rnacentral:tRNA from 1 species
GGGCCUGUAGCUCAGUUGGUUAGAGCCGUCGACUCAUAAUCGAUUGGUCGUAGGUUCGAGUCCUACCAGGCCCA